rnacentral:tRNA from 1 species
GGCCUCGUAGCUCAGUUGGCUAGAGCGUUGUCUGUACUAAGGUCUUUUAUCCUCUGUCGUGGGUUGGAAUCCCACCAAGGCCG